rnacentral:rRNA from 1 species
UACGUAGGGUCCGAGCGUUGUCCGGAAUUACUGGGCGUAAAGAGCUCGUAGGUGGUUUGUCGCGUUGUUCGUGAAAACUCACAGCUCAACUGUGGGCGUGCGGGCGAUACGGGCAGACUGGAGUACUGCAGGGGAGACUGGAAUUCCUGGUGUAGCGGUGGAAUGCGCAGAUAUCAGGAGGAACACCGGUGGCGAAGGCGGUUCUCUGGGAAUGUCCUGACGCUGAGGAGCGAAAGUGUGGGGAGCGAACAGG